UACGGGGGGGGCAAGCGUUGUUCGGAAUUACUGGGCGUAAAGGGUUCGUAGGUGGCCAACUAAGUCAGACGUGAAAUCCCUCGGCUUAACCGGGGAACUGCGUCUGAUACUGGAUGGCUUGAAUUCGGGAGAGGGAUGCAGAAUUCCAGGUGUAGCGGUGAAAUGCGUAGAUAUCUGGAGGAAUACCGGUGGCGAAGGCGGCAUCCUGGACCGACAUUGACGCUGAGGAGCGAAAGCUAGGGGAGCAAACGGG
rnacentral:rRNA from 1 species